GAUGAAGAACGUAGCGAAAUGCGAUACUUGGUGUGAAUUGCAGAAUCCCGUGAACCAUCGAGUCUUUGAACGCAAGUUGCGCCCGAAGCCAUUAGGCCGAGGGCACGCCUGCCUGGGCGUCACACGUCGUUGCCCCCCCAUCUACUCCUUCGGGAUUGCGGGGGGCGGAUGAUGGCCUCCCGUGCGCCUCGUCGCGCGGUUGGCAUAAAUGCCAAGUCCUCGGCGACGCACGCCACGACAAUCGGUGGUUGCGAAACCUCGGUUGCCCGUCGUGUGCGGUCGUCGCGCAUCGAGGGCUCGAAAAAAUUGCCGGGCUCCGGCUCGGCUUUCAACGCGACCCCAGGUCAGGCGGGGUUACCCGCUGAAUUUAAGCAUAUCAAAAGCGGAGA
rnacentral:misc_RNA from 1 species